rnacentral:rRNA from 1 species
GAUGAACGCUAGCUACAGGCUUAACACAUGCAAGUCGAGGGGAAGCGGCAUUAAGUGCUUGCACUUUUUGGACGUCGACCGGCGCACGGGUGAGUAACGCGUAUCCAACCUUCCCAUGACUAAGGGAUAACCUGCCGAAAGGCAGACUAAUACCUUAUGGUCUUCACUGACGGCAUCAGAUGUGAAGUAAAGAUUUAUCGGUUAUGGAUGGUGAUGCGUCUGAUUAGCUUGUUGGCGGGGUAACGGCCCACCAAGGCAACGAUCAGUAGGGGUUCUGAGAGGAAGGUCCCCCACAGUGGAACUGGGACACGGUCCAAACUCCUACGGGAGGCAGCAGUGAGGAAUAUUGGUCAAUGGGCGAGAGCCUGAACCAGCCAAGUAGCGUGCAGGAUGACGGCCCUAUGGGUUGUAAACUGCUUUUGUAUGGGGAUAAAGUCAAUCACGUGUGAUUGUUUGCAGGUACCAUACGAAUAAGGACCGGCUAAUUCCGUG